AGCGUUGCUCGGAAUUACUGUGCGUAAAGGGCGCGUAGGCGGACAGUUAAGUCGGGGGUGAAAGCCCGGGGCUCAACCUCGGAAUUGCCUUCGAUACUGGCUGUCUUGAGUGCGGGAGAGGUGUGUGGAACUCCGAGUGUAGAGGUGAAAUUCGUAGAUAUUCGGAAGAACACCAGUGGCGAAGGCGACACACUGGCCCGUUACUGACGCUGAGGCGCGAAAGCGUGGGGAGCAAACAGG
rnacentral:rRNA from 1 species